UACAUAGGGUGCGAGCGUUAAUCGGAAUUACUGGGCGUAAAGCGUGCGCAGGCGGUUUUGUAAGUCAGAUGUGAAAUCCCCGGGCUUAACCUGGGAACUGCGUUUGAAACUACAAGGCUAGAGUGUAGCAGAGGGGGGUGGAAUUCCACGUGUAGCAGUGAAAUGCGUAGAGAUGUGGAGGAACACCGAUGGCGAAGGCAGCCCCCUGGGUUAACACUGACGCUCAGGCACGAAAGCGUGGGGAGCAAACAGG
rnacentral:rRNA from 1 species